rnacentral:rRNA from 1 species
CACGUAGGGGCGAGCGUUGUCCGGAAUUACUGGGCGUAAAGGGCGCGCAGGCUGUUAUGCGAGUCUGCUGUGAAAGCCCGGGGCUCAACCGCGGGACUGCAUCGGAUACUGUGGAUCUGGAGUGCCGGAGGGGCAAGCGGAAUUCCCGGUGUAGUGGUGAAAUGCGUAGAGAUCGGGAGGAACACCUGUGGCGAAGGCGGCCAGCUGGGAUACACCUGACGCUGAGAUGCGAAGGCGUGGGGAGCGAACGGGAUUAGAUACCCG